CUCGAGGGCAAGUGCAUGCCCCAAGUCACGAGGCAGGGCCCAGCACCUGUGGGGUCUGCACUCCCCCUUGGAGAAUCCCCACGCUGAAGGAGCACCCCAUUGGCCAGCUCCAUACUUAGAGGAACCCUCUCUUCCUCUUCUGAUCCUCCUGAGUCUGGCUUGACUCUUCUAGGCAGUUCGAGGCACCCUCUUGUGACGAGCCCCGAAAUGCGGUGUAUAACUUUAGUGAUUCCACACACAUGUUAAAUAUUCUAUUUGCCCUUAAAACCAACAUUGCACAGUAUAGAAAUGAAUGAUAUAAUUCAUGCUAAUAACUUAAAAUUUUGACUUUACUUCCAAUGACAUUAACUAGGAAAUUUAAAACAUCAUGACAAGUCAAGAGAGAGAGAGACCAGGGAAGAAAGGAGAAAGCAUUUUUUCUUGCCUUUUGAACAAGGGGCUGCACGUGUUCAUUUUGCUUUGGAUCUCUCAAAUUAUGGAGCCAGUCCUGCCUGGGUGAGUCACUUUCCCUCUUGGGCACCAAUUUCUCUAUCAGGAAACCAGACUGUUAACAUUGUGCUUGCCCCUCCCUGGCUCACGGCACAUUAUGAACAUGCACUUGGAUGAAAUCCAUGAAAGAUUUAGAAACAGUGUGUGGUGCCACUUCUCGGCUUGCUGCCACAGCCCUUGUUUCUUAAAAGGAGGUUCAGCCCCCCUCACAGAGGCUUAACCACCGUUGUCAAGUCAGUCUCUCCCCCAGGUAUUCUCCUGAGGAAUUAUGAGCUGGAACUGAAGCCCCGGUCUGAAAGCGCCGCCGCCGCCACCCCCCCCCCCCCCCCCCAACUCCACCGUCCAUACAGAGUAGCGGCGUAAGCACCCAGAGAGAUUUAAUUUGGAAUCCAGGCAAGUUGUGACAUGGAAAGACGUCGGCUGGCUCGAAGGGCCUCAUAGUAUGAAAAGACCAGUCAUUGAUCUCUGCAUCCGUCCAUUUUAUUGUCCAGUGAGGCCCAGGACUCCAGAGCUCAGUACAAAGCUGUGGCACCAGGGACUGAAAAACAACAUUGAACCACAAAACCUGGCAAUUACCUGCCGUCGGAAUUCAGUCACAGAGAGACCUGAAGAGGCAAGGCAGUUUGGGUUGGUUGGCGUGACUGGAGCCUACCCACUACCAAAGGCAACCUUCUCAGCCACAAGUUCACCACCAGGAAGUUCCCCGUGGAAUUACCCUGUUCCCAUCCGAAGGUGGAGGCACUGUGGAUGGCUCGGGCAGAAGACACAUGGGAUCCCCCCCGCACUGGACAAGAGGGAGGCUGUGAGGGAGCCCUGAGCCACCCGGCCCCACCUGGUCCCAGCACCGCGGGUGCCUCUCAAUGUUUGCGGGGGACCGCCUGCCUUGGAUGAAACGGUUUCCUCCAGGAGUCUCCUUUUACCCAUCUAAUUUGGUCACCAAGACACUCCCCUGUGUUACGAGGGAGCUGAGCCGCUGCAUGAGGCUGGCCUCGUUUGGAUGCACAGCACAACGAAUUUGUACCGACCGAGCCUCCAGCGCUGAUAUUUCAAAACCUACAGUACACUAAACGUGAAACUUUUGUUCAAAUUUCAAGGAUUUUGAUAGCCCAAGUGAAUAGACACUGCCUAUUGAUUUUUCCCUUACAAUGACUCUUGGAUAACCUAUUUUCUCAUUUAUUUUUAAAGACAGCUCAUGAGAUUUC
rnacentral:lncRNA from 1 species